rnacentral:lncRNA from 1 species
UCGUCCAAACCAAUAGUAAACGCGGCGCACGUGCCCUCGCCCAACGGCCUCUACCCAACCAAUAUGUACAUUUUCUAGCUUUAUAGAAAUGGGUUUGAUAUCCACUCUGGUUGGGUUUUUUGUACGUCGGUCGGUCGAUCCAUCAUGCGGCCUCAUAAGGAAGGCCUCUGUGCAGAACCACAAACGAACUCAAGCAUGCAACAAGAAGAAGAAGAAGAAGAAGAAGAAGCAGCAGAACUCCUCCAGUUGGACUUACUUUUUACUUUUAUUUUCCGGUUUUAGAUCUGAUCAGAAGCGGCUGAAUGUGCACACACUCUGCGACGUAACUGCUGAAAUGAUAAUGCGAGGAGCCAUGAGCGCUGCCGUAUGAUGACCACAAUGAAUCAAAUACCAGGGCCCAAGGUCGCAAAGGUUCGGUGCUGAU